CUUGGCACUAGCUGGCCAGCCAGUAAGACAAUCCUGAUUCAAGCUAAUUAUUAAUAUAUUGCAGUAUGUUUCAGAAAACUUGAAAGGUUGACUUAUCAACCCCUAGUACUCCAGUCUGGUUCAAUACACCUACACGGAAAGGUGACACCUAUCGGGUUCCAUCAGGUCAUGGACCAUGCCUCGUAUUCAGGCAAACUACGCUGAUGCAACGUUCAUUGGCCAGUAACAGCCGAGAAACUGAACUGUUCAGUCUCACACGUACCAAUACGGAAAGGCUGAUGCGGUGGGAGGCAAGAGUUGCUCGGGCAACAACAACAGCCAAGCAACGUUCUCAGCCCUCAUGUUCUCUAAGGGUAAAUAGAUGAGACUGGAAAGACUAGAAAUACGUUGUCGAAC